rnacentral:rRNA from 1 species
CAGCCGCCGCGGUAAUACGGAGGGGGCUAGCGUUGUUCGGAAUUACUGGGCGUAAAGCGCACGUAGGCGGCUUUGUAAGUCAGAGGUGAAAGCCUGGAGCUCAACUCCAGAAUUGCCUUUGAGACUGCAUCGCUUGAACGUCGGAGAGGUGAGUGGAAUUCCGAGUGUAGAGGUGAAAUUCGUAGAUAUUCGGAAGAACACCAGUGGCGAAGGCGGCUCACUGGACGACUGUUGACGCUGAGGUGCGAAAGCGUGGGGAGCAAACAGGAUUAGAUACCCCAGUAGUCCCUGUCUCUUAUAC